AGCGCUACGCCGGGGGAGAGCGGGAAUCAUUGAUGUUGAUUUAUAUGAGGUCUAUGUGAACCUCUAGUGCUA
rnacentral:tRNA from 1 species